GAUGAACGCUGGCGGCGUGCCUAAUACAUGCCAGUCGAGCGAACGGACGAGAAGCUUGCUUCUCUGAUGUUAGCGGCGGACGGGUGAGUAACACGUGGAUAACCUACCUAUAAGACUGGGAUAACUUCGGGAAACCGGAGCUAAUACCGGAUGAUAUUUUGAACCGCAUGGUUCAAAAGUGAAAGACGGUCUUGCUGUCACUUAUAGAUGGAUCCGCGCUGCAUUAGCUAGUUGGUAAGGUAACGGCUUACCAAGGCAACGAUGCAUAGCCGACCUGAGAGGGUGAUCGGCCACACUGGAACUGAGACACGGUCCAGACUCCUACGGGAGGCAGCAGUAGGGAAUCUUCCGCAAUGGGCGAAAGCCUGACGGAGUAACGCCGCGUGAGUGAUGAAGGUCUUCGGAUCGUAAAACUCUGUUAUUAGGGAAGAACAUAUGUGUAAGUAACUGUGCACAUCUUGACGGUACCUAAUCAGAAAGCCACGGCUAACUACGUG
rnacentral:rRNA from 1 species